CGUAUCACCCAAGACAACUUUACGGAGUUGACGAUUGACGGAGCGAAGCGACGUCAAAGCGUUCAUUAAAGUCGAGUUGGCUUAGGGAUACGUUCGUUGGGUAGGGGAGCGUUCUGUAAGCCUGUGAAGGUGGCCUGUGAGGGUUGCUGGAGGUAUCAGAAGUGCGAAUGCUGACAUAAGUAACGAUAAAGCGGGUGAAAAGCCCGCUCGCCGGAAGACCAAGGGUUCCUGUCCAACGUUAAUCGGGGCAGGGUGAGUCGACCCCUAAGGCGAGGCCGAAAGGCGUAGUCGAUGGGAAACGGGUUAAUAUUCCCGUACUUGGUGUUACUGCGAAGGGGGGACGGAGAAGGCUAUGUUGGCCGGGCGACGGUUGUCCCGGUUUAAGCGUGUAGGUGUGUGUUCCAGGUAAAUCCGGUUCACUUUAACACUGAGGCGUGACGACGAGGCACUACGGUGCUGAAGCAACAAAUGCCCUGCUUCCAGGAAAAGCCUCUAAGCAUCAGGUAACAUCAAAUCGUACCCCAAACCGACACAGGUGGUCAGGUAGAGAAUACCAAGGCGCUUGAGAGAACUCGGGUGAAGGAACUAGGCAAAAUGGUGCCGUAACUUCGGGAGAAGGCACGCUGACAUGUAGGUGAAGUGAUUUACUCAUGGAGCUGAAGUCAGUCGAAGAUACCAGCUGGCUGCAACUGUUUAUUAAAAACACAGCACUGUGCAAACACGAAAGUGGACGUAUACGGUGUGACGCCUGCCCGGUGCCGGAAGGUUAAUUGAUGGGGUCAGCGCAAGCGAAGCUCCUGAUCGAAGCCCCGGUAAACGGCGGCCGUAACUAUAACGGUCCUAAGGUAGCGAAAUUCCUUGUCGGGUAAGUUCCGACCUGCACGAAUGGCGUAAUGAUGGCCAGGCUGUCUCCACCCGAGACUCAGUGAAAUUGAACUCGCUGUGAAGAUGCAGUGUACCCGCGGCAAGACGGAAAGACCCCGUGAACCUUUACUAUAGCUUGACACUGAACAUUGAGCCUUGAUGUGUAGGAUAGGUGGGAGGCUUUGAAGUGUGGACGCCAGUCUGCAUGGAGCCGACCUUGAAAUACCACCCUUUAAUGUUUGAUGUUCUAACGUGGACCCGUAAUCCGGGUUGCGGACAGUGUCUGGUGGGUAGUUUGACUGGGGCGGUCUCCUCCUAAAGAGUAACGGAGGAGCACGAAGGUUGGCUAAUCCUGGUCGGACAUCAGGAGGUUAGUGCAAUGGCAUAAGCCAGCUUGACUGCGAGCGUGACGGCGCGAGCAGGUGCGAAAGCAGGUCAUAGUGAUCCGGUGGUUCUGAAUGGAAGGGCCAUCGCUCAACGGAUAAAAGGUACUCCGGGGAUAACAGGCUGAUACCGCCCAAGAGUUCAUAUCGACGGCGGUGUUUGGCACCUCGAUGUCGGCUCAUCACAUCCUGGGGCUGAAGUAGGUCCCAAGGGUAUGGCUGUUCGCCAUUUAAAGUGGUACGCGAGCUGGGUUUAGAACGUCGUGAGACAGUUCGGUCCCUAUCUGCCGUGGGCGCUGGAGAACUGAGGGGGGCUGCUCCUAGUACGAGAGGACCGGAGUGGACGCAUCACUGGUGUUCGGGUUGUCAUGCCAAUGGCACUGCCCGGUAGCUAAAUGCGGAAGAGAUAAGUGCUGAAAGCAUCUAAGCACGAAACUUGCCCCGA
rnacentral:rRNA from 1 species